rnacentral:rRNA from 14 species
GAGUAUGAGGUGGAUGUCUAGGUAUAUAAAUAAAGGACGUAGCGUAUUUACGAAAAGUUAUGAUAAGAAUCGCAUUUGACUUCAACUCAUAGAUAUCCUUAGGUAAACCGUACACUUUGUAUUAAUUUACUAAAUUAAAUGAAACAUCUUAUUAAUUUAAGGAAAAAAAAUCAAACGAGAUUUCAUUAGUAGUGGCGAACGAAAAUGAACAAGGGAUAAAUAUUCUUUUUAGUUAAUAAUUUGAAAAAAUUAAGCCAUAGAAGGUUAUAGCCCUGUAAACUUUAAAUUAUUUUUUUUUGUAGUAAAAAAGAAGCCGUGACAUUCUUUUUGAAU